rnacentral:rRNA from 1 species
GGGGAAUAUUGCACAAUGGGCGAAAGCCUGAUGCAGCGACGCCGCGUGAGGGAUGACGGCCUUCGGGUUGUAAACCUCUUUCGCCAGGGGAGAAGCCCUUCGGGGUGACGGUACCUGGAAAAGAAGCACCGGCUAACUACGUGCCAGCAGCCGCGGUAAUACGUAGGGUGCGAGCGUUGUCCGGAAUUAUUGGGCGUAAAGAGCUUGUAGGCGGUUUGUCGCGUCUGCGGUGAAAACCCGAGGCUUAACCUUGGGCGUGCCGUGGGUACGGGCAGGCUAGAGUGUGGUAGGGGAGACUGGAAUUCCUGGUGUAGCGGUGAAAUGCGCAGAUAUCAGGAGGAACACCGAUGGCGAAGGCAGGUCUCUGGGCCAUAACUGACGCUGAGAAGCGAAAGCAUGGGGAGCAAAC